GAUGGACGCUAGCGGCAGGCUUAAUACAUGCAAGUCGAGGGACAGCACAGGUAGCAAUACUGGGUGGUAACCGGCAAACGGGUGCGGAACACGUACACAACCUUCCUUUAAGUGGGGGAUAGCCCAGAGAAAUUUGGAUUAAUACCCCGUAAUAUAGUUGAAUGGCAUCAUUUGAUUAUUAUAGCUACGGCGCUUAAUGAUGGGUGUGCGGCUGAUUAGAUAGUUGGCGGGGUAACGGCCCACCAAGUCUACGAUCAGUAGCUGAUGUGGGAGCAUGAUCAGCCACACGGGCACUGAGACACGGGCCCGACUCCUACGGGAGGCAGCAGUAAGGAAUAUUGGUCAAUGGACGCAAGUCUGAACCAGCCAUGCCGCGUGAAGGAUUAAGGUCCUCUGGAUUGUAAACUUCUUUUAUUUGGGACGAAAAAGGGCCUUUCUAGGUCAACUGACGGUACCAGAUGAAUAAGCACCGGCUAACUCCGUGCCAGCAGCCGCAGUAAAAC
rnacentral:rRNA from 1 species